rnacentral:misc_RNA from 1 species
UACGGAGGGUGCAAGCGUUAAUCGGAAUUACUGGGCGUAAAGCGCGCGUAGGCGGCUGAUUAAGUCGGUUGUGAAAGCCCCGGGCUCAACCUGGGAACUGCAUUCGAUACUGGUCGGCUAGAGUAUGAGAGAGGGAGGUAGAAUUCCACGUGUAGCGGUGAAAUGCGUAGAUAUGUGGAGGAAUACCGGUGGCGAAGGCGGCCUCCUGGCUUAAUACUGACGCUGAGGUGCGAAAGCGUGGGGAGCAAACAGG